GAAGGGGACGACUGCUUGGGGAGGGGGCGGUGACCUGUAGCAGGAAGAAGAAUGGAUGCGAGCUCGGGGAGGGGGCCGCGAGCUCAUCUACCUUGCUGCUGGUGUUGGUCGACUGGAUCAAUCCUAGAGGAGUGGGGGAGGGGGUGGCGAGCUCGAGUAGAAGGAAGAGGUUGGGUGUCUGGAUCCUAGGGGAGUGGAGCCGUAGAGGCGCCUCUGGCGAACAGCGCCAGCAGCUGCUCCUCCCCUCCUCCAACGAGGGUAACUACAGGAGGGGAGGGUGAGAAGGGAGGGAACAUGCCUGAUGCUCAGUCUGUUUCUCUGCGUCGAGGUAGGACGCAAGCGUUGCCGCCACCAUCGUUGCCCCAAGGUAGCUGUGUCGACGAGGAGCAUUGGAUGUGGGCGGACGUCCACGGGAAGAGGGGAGCGGUUCCCGUACUCCUGCGGAGGAAGAUGGGCGGCGCGACGAGCGAUUGCCUCCAGUGGUGGCAGAUCCCCUCCAUGGCGUCCAUGAUGACGGCAGGCACCAUGGUGCCUAUCUGGCCAACACCAACCUUGCUUCCACCGGAUCCCCUGGGUCACUCAUCGAACCAGAACUCCAACAUUGCAUCCAUGUCUCCGCACAAGCACAAUUAAUGGCUUGCUCACGCCACCAUUGUAUGGUUCUUCAGUUUCUUGUUCGCUCUGUCCAAUUAUUAUGAAGUACUAGAAGGCAUCCACCUUGGUUGCAACCCCUCAAUGUUCCACGUAAUUUUAUUUUAAUCUUUCUUAGUCUGCUCUUGUGGAUCUCUCACAUCCUCUGAACCCCGCACAUUCAUUUGCUGAUUAUAGUUUGUAGGCUGUAAAUUAUUUUUCGGGUUCGCUCCCCAGAUCUCUACAGUUUGCUAGCUUGGGAGAACACUGGUAUUGAGGCUGAGCUGUUGAGGACUCUGAAGUUGUGUGUGUUGCUGCCGUUUUCGUUGCCAUCACAGUCGUUUUGGUCGCUCAUCAGGCUGCUGUCACCGCGAGUCUUCAUCUUAGUUGCCGUCUGACAACACCAGUACAACCUCCAUCAGUCACAGCCAAUUGAUGCACUGAACAUCCAGCAAAUGGCUGAACUGCAGCCUCGAUUCCCCGCCAUUCUCCGCUCUAAACAACCGCUCUAAUUCCUUGUUCAACGCCAAGGAUCUCACCAUGGGGUGCAUUAAUGUACUCAUCAACCCACAAGACCAGCCUCCUUCCCCACCGAGGUGGUUGUUGCCUACAAGCCUCCACAAGUGGCAUCGCCUGCAUCUCCUCUGGAUCAUCAUCCGCAAAGAGGAGAAAGUCUGUCGCUGCAAAUACAGAAGGUGGGUUGUCAUAAACCGUAAUUCUUGGCACUUUUCAGGUCAGCCAUUUGAGGCUGGCACGAUACAUAAUGCUGUAAUAGAUCCGCCAUUUGUGGAGAAGGAGAGGCCUGCAUCGAAGCUUUCGGUUUCGGCACAUUGGACGGCGGCACUCCCCAGUACUGCACCUAACUUGGAUAUUGGGAUGAAUCCCUGGAGUACUUCUCCGUGUUCCUUAGGACAGGGAAAGGUGAACGCCACGAAUUCUUCCCAGAGUAAUGCCCCUCUGUCUCAGAUGGUAUGGUUUUCAUGAAAUAUUUUUUUGAAAGUAAGAUUUUAUUGCUUCCGGCAUCUUCACUGUCAUGAUCAUUUUGAGAGCAUGGUAAUUGUCUUGAAUGACUGGUAGCUCCUCCCCUUUGGAAAAUAUCAAUAGUGUAUCUACAUCCAACUCGGUUUUGCUUUAGUCUUAUUUGUUAAAACGUAGUGACUAUCUAUAUACUUCAUCUUACUAUCUGAUUAUGACAACCAUACCCUCGAGGCUGCGACGAGCAAUCAAUCUCUAAUAUAUUACCGAAUCAACAUCUAAGUAAGAAAUUAUAUGCGUGUGCAUAUUAUUGGUUAUUACUCAGUGCAAGUCAAUAAACUAACAACAUCUGCAAUACCAAAUAGAUAAAAUAUGAAGCUACUUUUCAUGAUGGAUCUAAUGAUAUAAAUUUUGUACUGUAGAUAUUGAUAUAUUUUUCUAAAACUCAGUCAAACAUGGCCUCGUUUGACUUUUGAAAAAACAAGUACACCUUAUAUAAAAGAACAGAGGAAGUAAAUAUGAACCCAUAGCUACAUCUCUGGUCACUCAUGAACCUUCGGAUGCCUGUGGGGAUAAUUUUUUUAAUAUUCUACAAGACUGUUAUUAUUUUUGUAGGAUGAACAAGAGUUGAAGAGGGAGGGAAGGAAACAAUGCUAUGCAAAGGUACUCUCAGUAAUAAGAACGAACAAUCUCAAGUGAGAAUGAGGAGGAAAAUUACUUUAAACAAUGUUUUCUACUUUACUGCGCUUAUCUAUUUCCUUGUGGGCUCAUGGAUGCUUGUAUGUUUUGUGGCACUAGAAAUAGAAAAAUGACGAGCAUAGAAUGUACUAUUUUUAACAUUGGUACUUUAUAUGCAUGUUUCACUAUUAAGUUAGAUCCGCACAAAGAUCCUUCCACAUUAGAAUGCCCCAGAUAGGUUAUGCUUCUAUACAGUU